rnacentral:rRNA from 1 species
CGGAUUGCAGGCUGCAACCCGCCUGCAUGAAGUUGGAAUCACUAGUAAUCGCGGAUCAGCAUGCCGCGGUGAAUGCGUUCUCGGGCCUUGUACACACCGCCCGUCACACCAUGGGAGCCGGAAACGCCCGAAGCCAGUGGCCUGACCGUAAGGAGGGAGCUGUCGAAGGCGGGUCCGGUGACCGGGGUGAAGUCGUAACAAGGUAGC